rnacentral:rRNA from 1 species
AUUGAACGCUGGCGGCAUGCCUUACACAUGCAAGUCGAACGGUAACAGGUCUUCGGAUGCUGACGAGUGGCGAACGGGUGAGUAAUACAUCGGAACGUGCCUAGUAGUGGGGGAUAACUACUCGAAAGAGUGGCUAAUACCGCAUGAGAUCUACGGAUGAAACCAGGGGACCGCAAGACCUUGUGCUACUAGAGCGGCCGAUGGCAGAUUAGGUAGUUGGUGGGAUAAAAGCUUACCAAGCCGACGAUCUGUAGCUGGUCUGAGAGGACGAUCAGCCACACUGGGACUGAGACACGGCCCAGACUCCUACGGGAGGCAGCAGUGGGGAAUUUUGGACAAUGGGCGCAAGCCUGAUCCAGCAAUGCCGCGUGCAGGAUGAAGGCCUUCGGGUUGUAAACUGCUUUUGUACGGAACGAAAAGCCCUGGGUUAAUACCCUGGGGUCAUGACGGUACCGUAAGAAUAAGCACCGGCUAACUACGUGCCAGCCGCCGCCGUAAUAC